GAGAGUAUAGCUCAGUGGUACAGUGCAUGCUUGGCAUGCACAAGGUUCUGAGUUCAAUCCCCAGUACCUUUA
rnacentral:tRNA from 1 species